rnacentral:rRNA from 1 species
UACGUAGGGCGCAAGCGUUGUCCGGAAUUAUUGGGCGUAAAGAGCUCGUAGGCGGCUUGUCACGUCGGAUGUGAAAUCCCGAGGCUUAACCUCGGGUCUGCAUUCGAUACGGGCUAGCUAGAGGGUGGUAGGGGAGAUCGGAAUUCCUGGUGUAGCGGUGAAAUGCGCAGAUAUCAGGAGGAACACCGGUGGCGAAGGCGGGUCUCUGGGCCGAUACUGACGCUGAGGAGCGAAAGCGUGGGGAGCAAACAGG